rnacentral:rRNA from 1 species
AUAGACAGUCGUUUCGACAAAUGUGCCAGGCUUCGAUGUCUGAUCGCGGAAGCUAAGCAGGGUCAGGCCUGGUUAGGACUUGGAUGGGAGACCGCCUGGGAAGUCCAGGUGCUGUAGACA